UUUUGUUCUGCUGUUGGAUUUUCCCACCUGUUGUAUGGAUUUGACUGGUGUCCUUGCCGAAAGGGGAACUAUGGAAACAGAGAUGCCCAGAGAGAAGACAAUGUGAGGAGACACAGGGCGCACCACCAGGGCGGUGCUUCCACAAGUCAAGGAGUGCUGAAGAUUCCAGCAAACCACCAGAUGCCAGGGAAGAGCUCGGAACGGGCCUUCCUCACAGUCCCCAGAAGGAACCAACCCUGCCGACACCCUGAUCUUGGAUUUCCAGCCUUGAGAACUGUGAGACAAUACAUCUGUAUUGUUUAAGCUGCCCUGUUUGUGGUCUUUUGUCCUGACAUCCCCAGGAAGCUAAGUUAGUGACUGUAUAUUUUAAUCCUUCAAAUAUAUACUCUAUCAUCUCC
rnacentral:lncRNA from 1 species